GACGAACGCUGGCGGCGUGCUUAACACAUGCCAGUCGAACGGAAAGGCCCUGCUUUUGUGGGGUGCUCGAGUGGCGAACGGGUGAGUAACACGUGAGUAACCUGCCCUUGACUUUGGGAUAACUUCAGGAAACUGGGGCUAAUACCGGAUAGGAGCUCCUGCUGCAUGGUGGGGGUUGGAAAGUUUCGGCGGUUGGGGAUGGACUCGCGGCUUAUCAGCUUGUUGGUGGGGUAGUGGCUUACCAAGGCUUUGACGGGUAGCCGGCCUGAGAGGGUGACCGGCCACAUUGGGACUGAGAUACGGCCCAGACUCCUACGGGAGGCAGCCGUGGGGAAUAUUGCACAAUGGGCGGAAGCCUGAUGCAGCAACGCCGCGUGCGGGAUGACGGCCUUCGGGUUGUAAACCGCUUUCGCCUGUGACGAAGCGUGAGUGACGGUAAUGGGUAAAGAAGCACCGGCUAACUACGUG
rnacentral:rRNA from 1 species